GUGUACAGAAGGGAAGAUUUCGGUCGGAAGAUCUGUGCAUGAGUGGCGGACGGGUGAGUAACGCGUGGGCAACCUGGCCUGUACAGGGGGAUAACACUUAGAAAUAGGUGCUAAUACCGCAUAACGGGAGAAGCCGCAUGGCUUUUUCCUGAAAACUCCGGUGGUACAGGAUGGGCCCGCGUCUGAUUAGCCAGUUGGCAGGGUAACGGCCUACCAAAGCGACGAUCAGUAGCCGGCCUGAGAGGGCGGACGGCCACACUGGGGCUGAGACACGGCCCAGACUCCUACGGGAGGCAGCAGUGGGGGAUAUUGCACAAUGGGGGAAACCCUGAUGCAGCGACGCCGCGUGGGUGAAGAAGCGCCUCGGCGCGUAAAGCCCUGUCAGCAGGGAAGAAAAUGACGGUACCUGAAGAAGAAGCCCCGGCUAACUACGUGCCAGCAGCCGCGGUAAUACGUAGGGGGCAAGCGUUAUCCGGAUUUACUGGGUGUAAAGGGGGCGCAGACGGCGAUGCAAGCCAGGAGUGAAAGCCCGGGGCCCAACCCCGGGACUGCUCUUGGAACUGCGUGGCUAGAGUGCAGGAGGGGCAGGCGGAAUUCCUGGUGUAGCGGUGAAAUGCGUAGAUAUCAGGAGGAACACCGGUGGCGAAGGCGGCCUGCUGGACUG
rnacentral:rRNA from 1 species